AGGAAAUGAUUAGUAUUGUAAGAUAAUUAACCAUGCGCCACAACAACCACUUACGAUAAAACACAUUAACAAAUGUAAAUGUAACAAGCUUUUCAUUAGUUAUUAUUUGAAGAAUCAAUCGCUCUUCAAGAGAGAGUAUUAUUUUAGGUUACAACAUCAUUGCUAACUUGGUCAAGUGACGUAUAAAGGGAAGUCGGCAUAGUCAAACGAAAACCGAUUUUGUGUCUGUAACCCGGUGCUAAUUUGCCGUUUUUACUAUUUCCUUGAUAUAAUAUUAUGUUGUGAAAUUAGCGUUUUCACGCACGGGGAUUUUUCGUGAGAUGUUCUCACUUCAAACAUUACUUUUGGGAGACAUCUUGUUUUGUACUUUUUAAAGUUAGGAGUUUUAGCAUUAUGAUAUUUGAUUAACAGUACACUGACAACACGGUUAUGGGGUGAGAUAGGAGACGUUUCGAGAUAUUUAUAGGACAUUUGGUUCCACAUACCUUAUGUUCAGUUAUAUUAUAGAACGACACGGUUGAUGAAAAGAUAUUGUAGUUGUCAAUUUAUCCACUUCAACCUUAAUCCACCUGGACAUUAAACCCGAACCCUACACGUCGACUCUAACUUUCUAUUUACCGGAAAUGUCGGCAUGUUACAUGUCGACUGCAGGUCAAGCAUUGCUGUUGGUAUGUCAUGAAUUAUUUGAGAUCUGCAAACACAACGCAUUCGCCAGGUAGCUGCGAAUCAUUGAAAUUAAUAAAAAGAAGGACUGUGAUGACUAGGGAGUUUUAUUUUCAUAUGUAGACGUCUGGCAUAAUAAUAGACACGUCUUAUUUUGAAACCAUGACGUAAUUUUCACAAUAUAUUUGAUAUGCAGUAUAUGAAAUAAAGAAAUAGAAU